rnacentral:rRNA from 1 species
UACGUAGGGUGCGAGCGUUAAUCGGAAUUACUGGGCGUAAAGCGUGCGCAGGCGGUUUUGUAAGCCAGAUGUGAAAUCCCCGGGCUUAACCUGGGAAUGGCAUUUGGGACUGCAAGGCUUGAGUGCGGCAGAGGAGACUGGAAUUCCUGGUGUAGCAGUGAAAUGCGUAGAUAUCAGGAGGAACACCGAUGGCGAAGGCAGGUCUCUGGGCUGACACUGACGCUCAUGCACGAAAGCGUGGGGAGCA